rnacentral:misc_RNA from 1 species
UUAAGUUCAGCGGGUAUCCCUACCUGAUCCGAGGUCAACCUGAAAAAAUUGGGGGUUAUUGGCUAGUAACCACUCGGGUCUCCAAAGCGAGAAGAAUUACUACGCUUGAAGCCGAAUGGCACCGCCACUGAUUUUAAGGCCUGCAGAAACCUGCAGUGCCCAAUACCAAGCAGAGCUUGAGGGUUGUAAUGACGCUCGAA